rnacentral:rRNA from 1 species
GACGAACGCUGGCGGCGUGCCUAAUACAUGCAAGUAGAACGCUGAAGGAGGAGCUUGCUUCUCUGGAUGAGUUGCGAACGGGUGAGUAACGCGUAGGUAACCUGCCUGGUAGCGGGGGAUAACUAUUGGAAACGAUAGCUAAUACCGCAUAAUAGUAGAUGUUGCAUGACAUUUGCUUAAAAGGUGCAAUUGCAUCACUACCAGAUGGACCUGCGUUGUAUUAGCUAGUUGGUGGGGUAACGGCUCACCAAGGCGACGAUACAUAGCCGACCUGAGAGGGUGAUCGGCCACACUGGGACUGAGACACGGCCCAGACUCCUACGGGAGGCAGCAGUAGGGAAUCUUCGGCAAUAGACGGAAGUCUGACCGAGCAACGCCGCGUGAGUGAAGAAGGGUUUCGGAUCGUAAAGCUCUGUUGUAAGAGAAGAACGAGUGUGAGAGUGGAAAGUUCACACUGUGACGGUAUCUUACCAGAAAGGGACGGCUAACUACGUG